GCCAUCUCUGCAAUGAAGUUCCGUCCAACGGCUUUGAUUGUUGACUUUUUUGGCACUGAGGCCAUGGAUGUUGCGGACGAGUUCGGGUUGCUCAAGUACAUGUUCAUUGCUUCUAAUGCAUGGUUUCUUGCUUGCUUCAUACAUGCACCUGCAAUUGAUAAAAAGCUUUUAACAGAUGAGCACUUUAACCUGGAAAAACCAAUGGAAUUACCUGGGUGUAUGCCGGUUCGAUUCCAGGACUCCUUGGAAUCGUUUCUACACCCAAACGAGCCGAUAUUCGAUUUCAUUUCCAGUAUAGGGAUGAAGAUGUCACUGUCCGAUGGAAUCUUGGUCAACACGUGGGAUGAUCUGGAGCCCAA
rnacentral:lncRNA from 1 species